UGAGAUAUCUUGCUGGGACAAACCUCAGCCUUUUUGGGGGGAACAGGGAUUUAUUCGCUGGAUUUAUUAGCAUAUCCCCACUAAGCUGGAGG